AGAACGAACGCUGGCGGCAUGCCUAACACAUGCAAGUCGAACGAGACCUUCGGGUCUAGUGGCGCACGGGUGCGUAACGCGUGGGAAUCUGCCCUUGGGUUCGGGAUAACAGUUGGAAACGACUGCUAAUACCGGAUGAUGUCUUCGGACCAAAGAUUUAUCGCCCAAGGAUGAGCCCGCGUAGGAUUAGCUUGUUGGUGAGGUAAGAGCUCACCAAGGCGACGAUCCUUAGCUGGUCUGAGAGGAUGAUCAGCCACACUGGGACUGAGACACGGCCCAGACUCCGUACGGGAGCAGCAGUGGGGAAUAGUAGGACAAGUGGGACGAAAGCCUGAUCCAGACAAUGCCGCGUGAGUGAUGAAGGUCCGUUAGGGUUAGUAAACGUCCUUACGUUUACCGGGAU
rnacentral:rRNA from 1 species